GUGCUCGCCUCGGCAGCACAUACACUCACAUGGGAACGGUGCAGAGAUCAGCAUGGCCCCUGCGCAAGCAUGACAUGCAAAUUUAUGAAGCGUUCCAUAUUUUU